UACCUAAUCGUGUAAAUAGUGGUUUGAUAAUACGUAUGUAUGUAUAUAUAAAAGUUUCUGUUACUCUGUGAAAAGUAAUACGUAUAAGCAUGUCAACUCAUGUUUCAAAACAACACAAUACAUACAAUGUUUACGAAUGUAGACUCCCUCCCCUCCAUAACAUUAGAAAUUGCGCGGCGAAACAGGACAGCAGAUCAUUUAGCUGUCGAAUUUCAGUGCGGUAACAUAUAUCACGUUAAUUAUGUCUGUAACGUAUUCUAACCUUUCGAUGGCGUUCUUUUGUUUUUUUAUUAUUCUUUUACUACCACUUAUAUCUCGUUAUUAACAUUGUUUAAUUAAUACAUGCGUUUAUUUAACAAUUCAUUGAACAUCAAGAUAACGGAAUUAAGUAGCUUUUUUGAAAUUAUCUGUGUUGAUUUUUCUUCGAUCACUGUUUGGUUGCUGGCAUUAUCGAUGUCUUGUAUUGUAAGCUUUUGUAAUGGAAUAUGAAUUUGAUUAUUGUUUUAUAUGAAUAUAUUUGUCAUCACUCUAUACAUUUGUUUUAAGUUUAACUUUUGGUUCUCUUUUGUGCAGCUAAUUGAUUGCAGAAAUCAGUCGAAUUACAUCGAAGUAAUAUGAAUAAUUAACGUAUGGACGUCACGAUGAUUAAUGAUAUCUCAAAGCCUCAACUUCUUCCUGUUCCUUGAGGAAGGUCUGACGAUGGAUCAGUAGCCAAGAAUAUGUUUUACGACUUUCAUUUCCUUCUAUUCUUUAAGGAGGAUCUCACUGUGCUACAAAAGCUAAGAAUAUUGUUCACAGCCUCCAUUUUUACCAUGUGCUUUUCAAUGAUUGAAUUGCUUGAUGACAGACUUGACUUCCGCUGACCCAGUGCAACGUUCUCCGCGUUUGAUGGUGAGUCGCAUGCACUUUUGUUCCUCUAGUCACUCAAUCAUGUCGUAAGAUGAAUGGUCCGAAUCGACACGGGUGACUAGUUGUAUUAUGUAGAAUUUUUUACGAGCAUAGUGACCGCGGAUAUUUAUUACAUCCGUGAGUAGUAACAUUUUUUUGUCUAUAUCUAUUUAUUAGUUCAGAAUAGGUUUCCUUGCACGUCGCGUUUUUGAAUUUUGAUAACAAUACAUUGUGAAUAACAAAGAACUAGUAUGGAUAACGUAAUGUUGACAAUUGAUAUAUGUAUAUGUGAUCGAAAAGAUUAAAUAUUUAUUUGUAUGAAUAAAUAAAUAUAUCAAUAGACAACGGAUAUUAAAAUGACUCUCAGUAUUUUAAAGCAGAGAAAUCGGAUACCCUCCGAUUUCGUCACUAUGAAAAUUACGAUAAUGAUAGAAAUUAUUAUAAUAAUUAUUAUAACAAUGUUAUUGAAAAUACUUAUCUUCCAUUUUAUAAUAGUAUUGAACAACUUUAUUAUUUGAGUUCCAUAUUCAGUAUAAUUUCAAUAGAAUUUGAAAUUGAAAUAUGCAGAUAUAAACGUUCAGUCCGUCUAAGAAUGUGCAUCUCAUGUGCGUUUCAUGUGCAAGAAGAAACUUCGCGACAGAUAUUUCAUAAUCAGAACAAGUUUUGAAUGCUGCUCUUGGAUUUUCAAAGAUGUGUUUCGAUGAAGGAAUCGUCUGAGGAUAUUUAGAUUAAUAUUUCACUUAGAGUUCACUAUUAUUCAUUGAAUUUAAUAGUACGUAUUUGCAUUCAAUCGUAAUUUGUUUUUUAAUAGAUAUAUUCUUUAUUAAUUUCUUUUAUUCAAGUUUAGCAUUUUAGUAAUUCGAUAAAUUAACAAAGUAAAAUAUAGAGUUAUUAAAAUUGGAAAUAAAAUGAAAAUGAAACAUCAAAGAAUAUUAGCCCGUUAGAUACAAAAUAUACCUAAUAGAUACGCUGAUCAUAAUUUUAGCUCAGGACUUUCAGGUUUAAUCCAUUCCAUGUUCAUCGCCAAAACCUCACUCACGUGCCCAGGUAUUACUUGGGUAGGAGAAAGGCAAUGGGCAUGAUGAGGAUACUUUAUAAGCUUAACAAUUUCUCAGCGACUGAUAUUGCGUUAGCGUAUCGUGCCCGACGUAUUUUCUACGUUGUGUGUGUGGUUAGUCUGUGGAAUUGCGUCCUCGUUUUUAUGAUUCCAACCAUUAUAAUCUUAAUUUUACAAUAUACAAUGAAAAUAUUUAGAUACGUUAUUAAAUAUAGCAUAUAAUAAACAGUAAUAUUCAAUUAGAAUGUUAUCAAAUUACCACUUAUUCCAACGAUAUCUCUCAAUUUCUCCAAAUAAUAUAAUAUGUCAAAGAUUAGGAAAUCUUAUAUAACAUGAUCAUGAAUACUAAUUAAGAUUAACAAUAUUCGAUAUAUAAUAUCCUACACGUAUUUUUAGCAUAUUUUACGCAAUGGUCAGCUAGCCAUCGUCAGUCGAUUUCAGGAAAAUGGUAUGUAAAUUAGAGUGUGAAAGUUGUGUGGAAUUCGAGUGUCGGAGGCGUCCCGGGACGUCUCUCUAGUGUAGGCUUUUGCGUUCGAGUUAUGUGUGAGAACCGUGGAGCUAAUGUGUUGGUGUGCUUGUUUUGCAAUUUUUUAAAUAUAGGGCUAGGUUGGAUAGGUAGCAUACUUUCUGGUAUGUGUGUGUAUUAAUUAUAAGUAGGUAGGGCCGGGCAGGUUGACACAGUCUGUGAUCGGGUAGGCGCGUUUCCGCAUGUCCAACCUGUUUCAGGAAAUUUGAUUUGAAAAAACGAUGAAACGGUGAAACUUGUAUCACGAAUGGCGCAUUCCAUUUGUCUCUCGAUUUGGCUUUGUCUAUCGAUUUUUCGAAUUUCGCGGACGUGGACGCGAGUAGAGAGUAGGUUUCGAAACGAACGUUUAUCUAUUGCUCGAGCACGCAAAUGCGAGCGAUCAACGAUCAUUACGAUCGUUUGUCGUCCACGUGCAUUUGAGUCAGCUUCCGCGAUAUACUUUUUUUAUUUCACCUUUAUAAGUAUAAACGCUCGAAGAAAGAAGAGGCUACGAGCCGAAGGGGCCCGGCAAAUUUGCCAUAGAAGGGGGCAACUACUAAUGUUUUUCCAUCCUCUGGAUCAUCCAGGGCACGGAAAAUCAUUCUCGUUACUACUUUGUCACUAUGCUCGUUUGUAGUAUUGUCGUAGUAUUUCUUUUUCAUUUUUUAAGCCGACGUAUAUGUCGGCCCAUCACCAUAUCGGGCAAGUCGCGUUUUUUUCUAAGUGUUGCGAGAGAUAAAUCAUAAAAGUUUUGCGGUUUUUUAUUAGCGUUGCGAGAGACUCAUUACGGUUUGAAUUAGAGUUGCGAAAAAAUGAUAUUCGUGUUUGCUUUAGUGUUGCGAAUUAUGACAUCGAGAUUGUCUAUUGCAAUUUUGAUUAUGAAUUCAUAGAAUUUUCUAAAGAAUAAUAUACGUAUUAGAGUUUUAGAAUUUUGUUCCCCGUUGUUUAAAAUUGUAUUUAGAAAUGUUCAAAUUUCAUUACUUAUAGUAUUACAAUUUCUAUCGUAAUAUGUAUUUGAAGUAGCUUUCUUUUCAUUUAUAAUAAUAUGUAAUAGUUUUUAUUAAAUUUGUUUUAAGAAUUAGUGUUGCGGUCUUUCAUCGCGAUUGUUUUAAUUAGUUCUUUAGAGUUACGUUGAUGAAUGAUCGCGGUUUUUAGAGUAGUGUUGCGCCUAUAUCAAGCCCAAUUUUCUUUCACUGGACUGUGAAAGAAUACUUUUUCCUGAACCAUCUGAUGCAACAUUACACUCGUUAUUAACGUUAUGAAUAUUUAAAUACGAGUGCAUAGAUCAAUAUGUAUAACUAAGACAUCCUACUUUUGCUUUUGAGAGUUUUCUAAUUUUCUGUUUGCUUUUUCACUUUUAGUAGUUAAUUAUAUUAAUUAAUAUUUGCAAAUAUUAUAUGAAGCACUCUUCGUGAUUUAUAUUGAGAAUUUUUGAUUUUACAUUUGGUUUUACUAAAUUAAUGUCGGGAUUAUAUCGAGUGUCUGUUUAUCUUAUUCUGAUGGCCAUGUUGGCCACUGAUUCGUUCUCUUUUUCAAUACACCCCAAAUUAUCAUAGUGUUCGUUAAUGAAAAUACUGCUAAAAUAUGUUCGUUUGUCAGUAAUGAAUAUUGUUUUACUACGAGUAUUCUUUAAUAGCAUCUCUUCAUUUGGUAAUUAAUUACAUACAUACAUUAGCCUCAUAGAAUUUUACUAAAUUUUUUGUGUCUGAGUUUGUCUCAGGAUUCGUUGUAAGAUUGGCAAAAGAAGACUCGUAUCCCAUAUAAUGUUCUAUGUAGUUUCCCAUUCUUUUUCUUUGUAACGUUUAGACUUUUGUAUAGGACUCCCACAAUAGAUUCUUAAAUUUUUAUAUAGACAGGAUUUAUAGAAAAGCCUUCAGAUUUCUAUAGGUAGGGUCUGCAAAAAAUCUUUGUCUUCGUUUAAAUUAUUUUGAAGUUUGUUUCAGGAAUUGCUUUAGGACCAGUAAAAAGACUAUGCAAAGUAAUUCAAAGUAUGUACAUGGGAAGUAUUCAAAAGUGUAGAGGAAUUAUUUCAUACAAUACCCUUCUCCCUUGUCCCAUUAUUAUAGUCAGAUAUCUAUGUAGGUGGACCUUGUUAAAAUUUUAGAUUCUUACCAAGCAUGUUAAAUUAGAUUUUCUAUGAAAUUUGUAAAUGAGAUGCUUUUAAUUUGAGAUUGUGGUUAAGUAGAGUAUUUUUGAUACUGCUAAAAAACGACUGUUUCUUAGCAGCAUUAAUCUGGGCAUAAAUAAAUGUUUUGUAAUUAAAUACAUGCAUAAUCAAGGGUAGUAUUUAAAGCUGAUAAAAUAAUGUAAGAUAGACAAGUAAUAUCAUUUGAAUGUUUUGGUUUAGCGUUUUGCAAAUGUACAACAAACGGGGAAUUUGUUCAACUUUUUAAAUGCAGAAUUAAUAUGUUUUUGCAUAAAAGGAUCGUGGAUAGGGAGGGCUUCCAUUUGCAGCAAUACUACACGCGCUGAGACGUAGGCAAUCAGUAUUAUUUCAUAUAUAGAAUAAUUAAUUACAUGAUAAUAUGACAAUAUUAUUGUAUAGUAAUUACAUGACAAUACGAUUUUGAUUGAUUGAUUGCGAUUGCGACUGUAUUAGUGACGGAACACUUAUAGCUGAAAAAUUUAAUUUAUAUUUCUUGAAGUCUAGCCUACAAUAUACAAAAUUUUAUGUAAGUUCUAGAUAUAAAUAAAUUUUGCAACGAUUUUUGAUUCUCAUUUUGCCCGGCGAACAUUAGAACAGCGAUGAACAGUUCAAUUCGAAAGAUGCAGAACUCCUUUAAAAGUUAAUAAAACAACGAUUAUAUAUAUAUAUAUACACAAAACGAUCGAAAGUGGUAGUAUUCAAAUAAGAUCAAGAUAGGACAGAUCACAAUAAUUGUAUAACUUUUUAAAAUGACAAUGUACAAAAGAUGUAUAAAAUAAAAUAACUUUUGCUAAUUGAUGCUAAAAAGUGUAGCUAGUGCCAUACGCAUUAAAUAAUUAUAUUUGUUUAUAUCACAGUGCGUUUUAAUUUUAAGGCUCCAUUCAUUUAUAUCUUACAAUAGUGGAUUAAUAAUACAUAUUAUGUAAAUACUGUAACUAAAUAUUGUGUGUGCGUGAUGUGUGUGUGUGUGUGUGUGUGUAGCAAAAUGGCACAAAGGUGAAAGAUUAAACUAAAUAAGUGCUAUUAAAAUAGCUGUCUUAUAAAAGUCUUAUGAUUCACAUUUAGUUUAUAAACGGAAGACUUCUAUUCUGGAUCUGGUUUAGGUUUUCUCCUAGGAUCAUUUGCAUCUAGAGGAAUUAUUACUGGUGGUA